rnacentral:ncRNA from 1 species
AAUAGCGCAAGCACUGCUGGGAGACAGCCCAGACAGUAGACGAGGAAGAGGAGUAUCGAAGAAUCAGCGGAUGCCUCUCGGCUUGCUUUAGUCGUUAUGCAAGAAGCAAAGUCUUUUGGUGACAGAGGAACAAAGAGCUUGCAA